rnacentral:rRNA from 1 species
GAUGAACGCUGGCGGCGUGCCUAAUACAUGCAAGUCGAGCGAAUGGAUUAAGAGCUUGCUCUUAUGAAGUUAGCGGCGGACGGGUGAGUAACACGUGGGUAACCUGCCCAUAAGACUGGGAUAACUCCGGGAAACCGGGGCUAAUACCGGAUAACAUUUUGAACCGCAUGGUUCGAAAUUGAAAGGCGGCUUCGGCUGUCACUUAUGGAUGGACCCGCGUCGCAUUAGCUAGUUGGUGAGGUAACGGCUCACCAAGGCAACGAUGCGUAGCCGACCUGAGAGGGUGAUCGGCCACACUGGGACUGAGAACCGGACCAGACUCCUACGGGAGGCAGCAGUAGGGAAUCUUCCGCAAUGGACGAAAGUCUGACGGAGCAACGCCGCGUGAGUGAUGAAGGCUUUCGGGUCGUAAAACUCUGUUGUUAGGGAAGAACGAGUGCUAGUUGAAUAAGCUGGCACCUUGACGGUACCUAACCAGAAAGCCACGGCUAACUACGUGCCAGCCGCCGCAGUAA